CUCCACUUCGCCAUGAAAUACGAAGUAACUAAUGCUCACCUUUGGUCUAUGGAAGGGGACAAAGCCAAGGAGAAGGAAAAAAGGCACAGAUGGCAGAAAAAACAUUUGAGAGAGAGCAAAAAACUGCAAAAGUUCAUAGUGAGUUCAGAAAGAAAGAGCAACAGGGUGCUAAAGAAAUCAUUAGAGAAGAGAAGAAGACAAGAGUUUCAGACGUGAAAAAUCUCCAGCCGGACGAGAGAGAAUAGCAACCAUAGGCACAAAAAGGGGAUAAAACCCAUGUUGUCACUUCUGUGCUUCUUUCAUCUUCUUUUCUGUACAACUUUGCAGGUGAGUCUGGUUGUGAACAAAUCAUAAAUCAGCACCAAAUUGUCAUAUGACAACUUCUUUUGUAUCUCUUUUGUGCAGGAAACAUUAUGAAGUGGCAGUCGUAAAGAAGAAGAGUGAAGUUCAUGUUCCUUCAAAAAGAUGCAGAAAAUGAGGGAAUUUUCUGAAGCCAAACAAAUUAAGAAAUUGCAGUCAAUAGCCUCUCUGGUCACCACUCAUAUUCCUUUUCCGUCAAUAGGAGGUUGCUGAUCACAACCCUUUUUCGUCAAAAAAUGUUGCUGAACAAGUACUCUCUGAUAGAAAAGAAGAGGAGAAGCUGCUGGCUAGAAAAAGGUGUGGAGAUGAAGACUGCACAAAAGAGACAGUCACAAGACUUCUCAGCUGAACGAAGUGUGCCAAAGAAUGGUGUGGUUGCUGUUACUGACGGAAAAGAAGGCUGCAAAAAGGUGUCCGCAAGACCCUUCUGUUGUGCAUACGGUCCAAAUUGCUGAUGGAGUAGAAGGCUGCACACGAGAGGUGUCCACAAGGCUUGUCAACUGUGCAAAGUGUACCUAAAUGGGUACAGAUGCUGUCAGUUGUCAAGUUUCUAGCUGAAAAUGAAGACAAAGCCCAUGAAAAAGAGAUGUCUCGAAGACCCCUCUCUCAUAUGCAACUCACAUACGAACACCCGCAAGGUCUUCACGUCAUUGCACCCGCUCAUAGAACACCAUCAAGGUCAUUUAUGAGCACCAAAGACAGAGAAAAGCAAGAAGUAAAAAGUAACAAAGACGGAAAAGACCAAUUAGCAAGUAAUUGGUACAAGACUCAUCAUCAAAGGAGACUACAAAAUCUAAGUUCAUUGCACCAGUCUUGCCAACAAAAUCACGAAGACUCUAGGUCGGAAAGUAAGAAAAUUUGAGUUGAUUCAAAAAGGAAGACUUAGAUGAAAAGC
rnacentral:lncRNA from 1 species